ACCCCCGUAAUUCAGCGGCCCAGAAGUCGGGGCCUUGAACCCCGGAACCGUGGUUCGAAUCCACGCGGGGGUA
rnacentral:tRNA from 1 species